GUGCGAGUAGAGGAUGUGCUGCAGCUGCGUGAUACUCCACUUCCGUCAUCUCCACCAGGCUCAGGUUGCCUCCAGUGAUCCCACGAACUGGCUGCAGUCAGGGUUCUGUAUAGGACACCGGCGAGCACAUCACUCUGUGGGCCCUGAUACCGCGCAGCAGGCAGCAUCCAGCAGAGAAGUGGGGCUGCCAGUUGGGAGUGGGAUGCCUUUGCCUGUGAUAACUAGGGGUAAAGGCUGAGUGAAGAGAGAGACAAGAACUCUGUAGAUAUUUAUUCUACUUCAAGUAACAAAACCUAUGAAGUCCUGUGUUUCAAUGGACAGUGAUAGAACACUCUGCAAUACAAAAUACAGUGUACAGAAAUUUCUACAAAGUAAACCUAAAGAAACACACUUGAUUUUUAUGCUUGUGCAUUUAAGUUAGAAAAUUUUACUUUACAUUUAAAAAAAAAAAACCUUCACAUAUUAUUAGAUGUUGAAACUGACACUUUCAUGUAAUUUACCCUACUGUUUAUUUGGUUUACAAUAGCAAGUAUCCCAAAUUGCUAUUUUCCCAUUUCUUUUCAACUUAAAACAUGUGCUAUAAAGUGAAAAAAAUCUGUAGUGAUGUACAGUGUGGAGUGAAAUAAGACACCGAAGAACAAACGAAGCUAAUUCUCUAUCUGAAAAAGUAAGUUUAUGAAAAUAUAAAAGGAACUACCAAACAUAUUUGCAGUCAGGUUAAGUUAGCUGGCCUUCUCACAGCAUCUUCAGAGGCAACCGGGGCUACACAGCAGAUAGCCUUUCAUGAAGCAGGCUGCUUCACCACCAUCCUCAUUUCCAGAUUUGGUACAAACAUUGCCCCAUCCCACUGAGAAGCUUCCAAACCUGUCACCUGUCUGGAGUCUGAAUCUGCAGAGAGCCACUCAGAGGGCAGCAAUGGGCAGUGCUUGACUCCUGUCUCUCCCCUCUUAAAAACUGCUCUAAACUGCUUUGCUUCUUUUUUUAGGCUGAUAAAUUUGAACAUUUAAAAAUAAAUUGUUAUUUAAAAUGUAACAAUUUCCACUAGGUCAGAUUAUUUCUAAUUAUGCUCUGAAAAAACUUCUAAGGUGAUGUGUUGCUGGGAGCUGGGCCUCAGAAGGCUGCUCUCCCACAGCUGCAAUUGCGCACAAAAUCCCCAGCUCACCCCCGAAACAGUGCUUUCCGACCGACCGGGACAGCACUGAGAGCCCCCGGACAGACGGAAGCAGAGAU
rnacentral:sRNA from 1 species